CCUGCAAGUUUUAAUCAAUAGCCAACAGUUGCAAAUCUCAUUCCGUUCUGAAAAGAACGGGGUGCCGACUGACACGUGCCAAGCCACUAAUUUCGUACGCCUUGAGGUCCCGUCGCGUGCGUUAGAAGCGUCGGGUUUGGGUCACGUUGAUUCCGGCUUCGGUGCGUUUGUCUGUCUAAACCUCGGCAUUACUAUUACCAUCGUCGUCGUUACCUUUCAUAUCCUUCACGUUGUUGAGAGGCGAAAUCCGCCCUACGAGACCCCAGCAGACCUUUAUCCUCUUCCUCUUAUACAUCCGGCCGGCCGGCCACGGCGAGAACGUCGCUUCCCAAGUUCUCGGCCGUGCAGACCGUUGUCGUCAGCUACCUUGGUCGGUCUCCACCUCUUUUUCAGGUACUGCUGGCUGCCUUUUUUUUAUUUUUAUUUGUUGUCGUUCUUUUUGUACGGUCGUGAAGGAUCGAGUAUAUUAUUUGGUCUUUCCAGGUUGAUAUGGUGUUGGCGAUCCAUGUUGCAGACCAACUGUUUGUUGAUUUUCCCAUUAUAAUUACUCUUGGUGUACUAGAUGUCUAGUUAGUUUGGUCGAUUCCACGCAUCGUUCGAUCGUCUGAUUUUGUCUUGGAUAGUCGAAGCUAAUAGGUUGGCCAAUCGGUCCUGCAUUUCGUGUGCUGUUUGUAUUUCAUGUUACCAUGAGGUCCAAUCGAAUCUUGCGUUCUGUAUGCUUCUGUGUUUCCUUGUUCCAAGAGCCUUUCAAGCAGACUUCCGAGCUAUCCUUCUUAAUAUCAUCGACUUCCAAUCUUGAUUAUUUUGCACUGCUGAUCCAAGGGUUAUACACACUUUUCUACCUUUUUCAUGGUAUAAUGGAGGAACAUUUAAGAUUGUAUGGGCAUGUUCAGGAGAUCUAUGGAGAGGUAAAAGAAGACUAAAUAAAAUUUUGUUGGAAACAGUGAAAUAAGAUCUGUUGUCCUUAGUUUAACUAGUGAUGUUUUCUUUGACAGAACUCGGUGGUGGGAAAGCUUUCAUGUAAGCCUACCCAGAUGGUUUGGAUCUGCCUCAUGGCUUGGUCUUGUCGUUGUCGAACUUGGAUAACCUCUUAUGCUUUUUAUUGAUUUUUAGAGAAAGGUAAUUUUUCACUUUUAUUGUGGUAUUCUUGGAGAUCAGGGUUAGUACAAUGAUAAGGUUGGUCCUUUGUAACCGGAGAGAUCAGGAUUUGAGUCACGAAAAUAAUCUCUUUAAACUAUUUAAAUGUAAUGCUGCGUACAUUAACCCUCCUUAAACCCUGCAUUAGUGGGAGUGUUUGUCAUUUUUAUUAUGAUAUUUUUGAAAGCCUUUCUAUCAAGUUACCUAGUGUGGAAACUUUAAUCUUCUCAAUGGGCAUGUGAAUUCUCUUGAAUUAUGAAGGUUUAUCUUUCCUUGGAAAUUUCGUUUUUAGGUUUAUUAAUUAAGGAUUCGACUGUAUCCUUCAUUUAUUCUGAUGUAAUAACAUUGAUGCUAAAGUGUCUUUAGACCAGAUCGAUCCAUGGUUCAAUAUCUCUUUAAUCAUUUUGAUGCUAUUGUUUGUUGUCUUGGUACACAGCUCCUUUGAGGCCAUUCGAUUGAAUAUUAUGACCAUGUUCUCUAUGAGAUGGUAGCAAGCAGGGAGGGUCUAGAGAAUGGAAUAAACUCAAGGCUUCAUGAUCUAAAGGCUUUAAUGUCAUUUGGAUUCACUCAUAGGAA
rnacentral:lncRNA from 1 species